UCCCUGGUGGCUCAGAUGGUAAAGCGUCUGCCUGCAAUGCGGGAGACCCAGGUGCGAUCCCUGGCUCAGGAA
rfam:Ovis aries breed Texel chromosome 3, whole genome shotgun sequence.